UGUCCUACCAUAACCCUAACCCAUGGCCUGUCUUCAUACAGCGAAAUGAUUACGAACUUGUCUGGGGGGCAUCUACAAAAAAGGACCAUACUAUACUGAGUGUGGAGAGAUGACAGAUGGUUGUUGGUGACAAAAAGUUUGGUGUGGUAUCGUAUGUACUGGUAGGGGGUCUGGGGGUAUUCUCCCCCAGAAAAUGUUUUGUAUUUUUCCACCCCUAGGACUGAAAUGUGAGCAUUUUCUGAAACAGA